UAACUAGUCCGUAUUACCCCGGUAGUACGCCGACUUCUUAGAGGGACUAUCGGCUCAAGCCGAUGGAAGUUUGAGGCAAUAACAGGUCUGUGAUGCCCUUAGAUGUUCUGGGC
rnacentral:rRNA from 1 species